rnacentral:rRNA from 1 species
UACGUAGGGUGCGAGCGUUUAAUCGGAAUUACUGGGCGUAAAGCGCACGUAGGCGGCUUUGUAAGUCAGAGGUGAAAGCCUGGAGCUCAACUCCAGAACUGCCUUUGAGACUGCAUCGCUUGAAUCCAGGAGAGGUGAGUGGAAUUCCGAGUGUAGAGGUGAAAUUCGUAGAUAUUCGGAAGAACACCAGUGGCGAAGGCGGCUCACUGGACCGGUAUUGACGCUGAGGUGGCGAAAGCGUGGGGAGCAAACAGG